rnacentral:misc_RNA from 1 species
GGAAGGAUCAUUAUUGAAAUAAACCUGAUGGGGUUGUUGCUGGUUCUCUAGGGAGCAUGUGCACGCCUUGUCACCUUUAUAUCUCCACCUGUGCACCUUUUGUAGACCUCUUCAGGUCUAUGUUGCUUCAUUUACCCCAACGUAUGUCAAUAGAAUGUUGUGCCUAUAUAUAAUAUA